rnacentral:rRNA from 1 species
GGCUCAGGAUGAACGCUAGCUACAGGCUUAACACAUGCAAGUCGAGGGGCAGCAUUGGGAUAGCUGCUAUUCAGAUGGCGACCGGCGCACGGGUGAGUAACGCGUAUCCAACCUUCCUGCCAGUAGGGAACAGCCCGGCGAAAGUCGGAUUAAUGCCCUAUGUUCUUCAAUGCGGACAUCUAAGUUGAAGGAAAGAUUCAUCGCUGGCAGAUGGGGAUGCGUCCGAUUAGCUUGCCGGCGGGUAACGGCCCACCGGGGCGACGAUCGGUAGGGGUUCUGAGAGGAAGGUCCCCCACACUGGUACUGAGACACGGACCAGACUCCUACGGGAGGCAGCAGUGAGGAAUAUUGGUCAAUGGGCGUAAGCCUGAACCAGCCAAGUAGCGUGCAGGAAUGACGGCCCUACGGGUUGUAAACUGCUUUUAUGCGGGGAUAAAGUGCGGCACGUGUGCCGCUUUGCAGGUACCGCAUGAAUAAGGACCGGCUAAUUCCGUGCCAGCCGCUGC